rnacentral:misc_RNA from 1 species
UCACAAGAACCAGAAUAACUCUGGUGGGUAUAGCUUCUCUUCUUGUAAGCGAAGGGUCAAAGGACAAAGCAAAGGAAUCCAAGUAGUGGAAACAACCAAUAAAAAUAACAGAGAGGAUUAAAUAUAAACAAGNGAUAAAAUAAACAAGACAAUCUCUCUUAGGUAAGGCAUAAAUUGCUUUGCUUGGUAGUGGUGCGAGAAAGAGUAAAGAAAAUAAAGAAAGAAAGAGAAUUGGUGGCAGUAAAACAGAACUG